rnacentral:rRNA from 3 species
AGAAAAGCAGGGGAUCGCAAGACCUUGCGCUUUUAGAGCGGCCGAUGUCUGAUUAGCUAGUUGGUGAGGUAAAGGCUUACCAAGGCUUCGAUCAGUAGCUGGUCUGAGAGGACGACCAGCCACACUGGGACUGAGACACGGCCCAGACUCCUACGGGAGGCAGCAGUGGGGAAUUUUGGACAAUGGGGGAAACCCUGAUCCAGCCAUGCCGCGUGAGUGAAGAAGGCCUUCGGGUUGUAAAGCUCUUUCAGCCGGAACGAAACGGUCACGGCUAAUACCUGUGAUCACUGACGGUACCGGAAGAAGAAGCACCGGCUAACUACGUGCCAGCAGCCGCGGUAAUACGUAGGGUGCGAGCGUUAAUCGGAAUUACUGGGCGUAAAGCGUGCGCAGGCGGUUUUGUAAGUCAGAUGUGAAAUCCCCGGGCUUAACCUGGGAACUGCGUUUGAAACUACAAGG